UAUUGACAAAGGCAAACCCAUUGAAAAAUGGCGGCGCAAAGCUACAGGAGCUACCGCGAUAUUCUCGCUAUGCUAGCCAGUUACCAUA
rnacentral:ncRNA from 1 species